GAGUGAGCAAGAAGGACUGAGAAAGAACAGUCAGUGAGGUAGGAUGUAAAUAAGGAAAAGCCAAGGGAUUAAAAAACUGCUAAAAGUAUGAAGCGGUUCACUUUGUCAAAUGCUGCUGAGAUGAACAAGAUGAUCACUGGAAUUAGCACUGAGGAAUCAUGGGAGAAAUCCUGGAGGAGCAGUUUCAGCUGGGUGAGGAUAGAAGCCAGAUUAGAGAGGGUUGAAAAGACACUGGGAGGUGAGGUCAUGGAGUUGGUAAGUACAGACAUACUUCCCCAGAAGUCUUGCUGUAAAGGGAGCAGAGAAUGGAGUUGCAGUUGGAGGAUUAUGUAGGGUCAGUGGAGUAUUUGUUGUAAGAUGGAAGGUUACUAGGGCAGACUGUAGAAUGAUGGAGGUGAUCCAGCUAAAAGGGACAAACUAGGGAUGCAGGAAACAGCCUGACUUGGAGUAGUGAGAGGGAUGGGAGGGAAACUGCAUGUGGAGUCAGUGCUGUUGGCAGGAGCAGAGGCUCUUCAUCCUGAUAAUAGGAGGGAAGGAAGGAAGGAUGGGCCUGUGGGAAGGUAUGACUGCUGCUUUGGGAUGUAGAAGGGAAAGCUUGGUAUGAAGUUGCUUUUGUUUUAGAAGUGUAAUAUGAGGCCAGGUUAUCUGCUGAGAGCAGAGGAGGGUGGAGGAUAAGGGGGCAGAGGAGGAGGCUGAAUGUGUGUCUUGAGGCUUUGAAGAGAGAAGAGGAAAAGUAAAAUAGUAACAGUCAUUUUGGAGACUAGGGACAUAAAAAUGGAAGGAUUGUAGAGAAGUAACUAAAAUGGUCAGGCAGACUUGAGGGCUCAUUUGAGAUUUAUGGUUAUGAAUUUAAAGUGAGACCUGUCAGCAUGCUUGUGAAUUUUUCUCCAGCAAUAUCUGACUAUUUAAGUGAGGUAAGUGACGAUAUAAGAGAUAUUAAGAGCACCAAAUCAUAUUUUUUCAAAUAUCUGUAUUCUUUUCUUCAGAGACACUAUAGGAGUCUAAAUAAAAACAGACAAGGCAUGUGUUGCAAAGCCUUUAAUUAGAAUGUUUGUAUUUUUUACAUCAUGCAUAACUUCACAUUUGUGAUUAAUUAGUAAUUAUUUCAAUACUUGUAAGCUCAUCUGCCUCAGAUUUAAUCAUAAUACAUGAAUUAAAUUAAUCAAAUUAAGGAACAGCAAUUUAGAAAGAAACACACUUUAAGAAAUCAAAAUUCUCAAUUCAGGCAGUCUGUUUCUAUCAUUUGGUAUUCUACUCCUUUAAAAAUUUCAUAUUGCCCAACAAAAAGUGGUUAUUUUUACUGUUUUUGGAGAUGACUGAACAGAUGAAGGCAUCAGAUGCCUUCAUCAGCUGGUAUUUUGCCUAAGAUCUAUUUAAGAUAACCUUUUCUUAUAUUUUUUACUUAAUAUUGGGCAUAAUCGUAUCAUUCAAGAUUAAGUCUGGGUUAUUUCUUUGAUAAGAACUGAAUGUGGCCGGGCGCAGUGGCUCACGCCUGUAAUCCCAGCACUUUGGGAGGCUGAGGCAGGAGAAUGGCGUGAACCCGGGAGGUGGAGGUUGCAGUGAGCCGAGAUUGCGCCACUGCACUCCAGCCUGGGCGACAGAGCGAGACUGUAAAUUUUCACCAGUAUUAGUUCUAUUUGCAAACUGAAAAAUGUUGUAGGCUUAAUGUAAAAUAACCACAUUAGUGAACAUUAUAUCUCUUAGAAGAAAGGCCAUAUUUUGCUCCUGCUUCUGUAAAAAUAUUAUUUGUUUGAAGGGGAAAUAAUGGUAGUGUGACCUUUCACUUAAUUCCUACUCCCUUAAUGUGAGAGAGACAAAAUGAGCUGAAGAAGGAAAAUUCUGGAGUUACACUCCACAACCUUGAACAUACUGACGGACAUCUCUGUUUUGACAACGAUUUCUCCAUGCCACCCUGUAGAAAAAGAUGAAGCAAAUGGUGAAAGGUUAAAACAUAUCUUCAUUGUAAUAUACAUACUUCGCACUCCUUGGGGAAACAAAAUAUUUUAUCAAUAGAUAAAAUAGUAAGAUAGACCCAGCUAUUGCUAUUUAUUAAAUGAAGAUAUGUAUACAAAAUACUUCACUCCUACCCAAAUUUCUCAGUAGAGCAUAGAAUGCCGAACAUAAAGAUUGAGUAAUGUGCGUUGUACAGCAGCAACUGCAAAGUGAAUUCCACAUUUAUUUUUUAUGUAUUUAUUUGAGACAGAGUCUCACUCUGUCGCCCAGGCUGAAGUACAAUGGCGCAAUCCUCUGCAACCUCCACCUCCCGGGUUCAAGCAAGUCUCCUGCCUCAGCCUCCCGAGUGGCUGGGAUUACAGGCACCUGCCACCACACCCAGCUAAUUUUUUGUAUUUUUAGUGGAGAUGGGGUUUUGCCAUGUUAGGCAGGCUGGUCUCGAACUCCUGACCUCAGGUGAUCCAUCUGCCUCGGUCUCCCAAAGUGCUGGGAUUACAGGCGUGAGCCACUGUGCCCGGCCCACACUUACUUAUUCUAAAAAGAAUUUCAAGAUAUGACAAGGAACUGAUAGAGUGUGAAGCAUCUUAAAACUCUAGAAAUCCCCUAAAAUAAAUUGAGGAGUAAAAGAGUAAGAUUCUGGAUCAGUUAAAGUAGAUUGUUUCUUCAAGGAUGUAGGUAAUACAUCAUUUAGCAUAAGCCAAAAGCUGCAAUUUUGAGGUGUCAUUAGCAUACUUUGGUCUUUAAAAGUCUGCUCUCAUUGUAUAUAUCAACAGUAGAGUAAGAUAGUUUUCCCUUUUAACACUUAAAACAUACCAUGCUCUAAUGCCUUGUGGAUCACGGACAACCCUCUUUGCACAAGCUACAGCAUCAGCGAUGUUAUCUUGCAGCAAAGCUGAAAGACAGGUGGUAAGGAAUAAAAACUUUAAUAGAUAUUUUAUUUUAAAUUUAGGUUUAGCCAGCUUUUUUCUGUUAGGCUGUGGAAAGAAUGGUAAGAUAUUAUUUUCUAUGAGUCCAUAUAUGUGUAAUUGUUGGGGAAAACUCUCUUCAUUCUCUCCCAUUCAGCAUGAAAUGAAGCAUUUUUUUCUUCAUUUACCAAAGUCAUUGGAAGCUCUGGAAGUAUUAACAAAAUGAUUAAAGGUCUUCUUUGCACUAGACACUGUAAAAAAACACCUAGUGAUAUUUUACUCAGCAGUUCUAUUAUUGAAAAUUUAUCCAAAAGAAAUAAGAAAUGCACCCAAAGAUGUAUACAAAAAGCUAUUCAUAGCAAUUUAUGAGGGAAAAAUGGAAACAACCUAAGUGCUCAAUAGUAACAAUUGGAUCAGUAAAUUAUAGAAUAUUCAUAUAUUAAA
rnacentral:lncRNA from 1 species